CUUUCCUUCCAAUGGGGCAUUUAAAAGGAAGUAGUGACAUUUGAACUAUGUUUGUGACAGUGCACAUAAGAGGAAAAACAUCUCUGAGACAUUUAUUUGUAACUUAUUUUUAUCCACCCAGUGCUCAAAAAUCCAGCACUCAGAAUGGAGUGCUUCAGGUUGCUGUCACCUUUCCCAAGGUUGAUCAUGACACUGUAUUUAUAGAUUACAUUUGUUUAGCCAUCAUCCAGUGAUGGGCGCUGGGUUGCUUCCUGUUUUUGGCUGUUGUGAAUAAGGCUGCAGUGAGCACAGGACAAUCAUAGAAAACUUCUAAAGUAUAGCAAAAAUAUUACAGACAACAAUAUUACCUAAAGGAAACCACUAUGAACACCUUGCUGCAUAUCCUUCCGGUCUUUUUAAUAUUGAGUCACAGUUUGCUUUCAUUAUAAAAAUAAUGUACCAGCGAGAUAGACCGUGGGAGUGGUAUGGUUUGCAGGACUGAAAUCAUCAAAAUGGUUCCGAUCACACAGAGAACUGUUCAUUUACGUGUUAGUCUUUCAUGAUCUGAAGGAAGAGUACAGCAUCUCUCAAAAGGUAACGAUUUGAUAUUUCAGAAUUGUUAAUGGCCUUUUAGCCUUUCUGUGGCCUCCUAUAAAUUAAAGUAAUUUCUAGCAGGCUGGAUGACACUUGUUUUGUCAUGGAUCUUAAAAUCCCUCACGUUUUCUCAAAGCAGUUUUCAAGUUGUCAUAGUAACGGCAUGAUGUUUGGAGGGUCUUUUUAGUAGUUCUUAGUUAGAGUUAAUUAAUUUUAUUAACUCUGGAUGUUUUUCUUUUUACUCCUCUGUGACAAAGAAGGGCCAUCAUUGCUCAAAUAUGUAUUUCACAUUCUUUAUUUUUUGGUGACUGUAGU